rnacentral:lncRNA from 1 species
UUGGGUUUUUUAAGCUCCCUGCUUGUAUGUAGACAUUGGAUUAGGACCACGUUACCCUGUUGCCCCAGUCUCUCCUCAUCUUGGAAGCUAAGGCAGGAAGCAAGAAGGAGGAUCACUCUUUAUUGGUCACCUCUCAGUGAUUGACUCCUGAUGAGCAACAUUAUUAAUUAAACCUUUCAGAAAUCCUUUGUGGAUGGACAUCUAUACUCUUAUUUAUCAAGCCCAGAGAGUCUAAUUAAUUUGCCUAAAGACACACAGCUAGCAAGUAGUAGAGCUGGGGUUAGAAUUUAGGUUGAUUUGACUUUAUUCUCCUCUGUUCCCAAAAUACAUGGCAGACAAUGACUGUCUAUAUCUUCCAAGUUUUCUCUGUGAUUGAAACACCUGGAGAGGAAAUAAGUCCUUUCUCAACUUGUUCCCUGUCUUAGGUCAAGUUCUGCAUUUGGACCAAUCAAAUCUGACCAUUGCCCCGUUGUGCAAAGAUGGCGCUUCUGUUCUGUGUGAUGUGAGUGGAGGCAGAGGAUAGAGUCGAUGCCGAUGCGCACAAAUUCAGACCCACCUCAGAAAGGAGCUUCCCCCAGCCUUGGUGGGAAAGGGACUAACAUGGAAAAUGCUUCAUCUCUUGGUUCCUGGAGAAGCUGCAUGCCGGGUAUGUCUACGCUCUUUGGGCCUUGGAGACAUGAGAUGGAAGGACAAUCACAGUUCACAUAGUAUUGACUAGUCCCCUUGGAGCUCAAGAAGGAAUAGCCAGUAUUGGCCAGCAUUCUAGUAGCAACAAAACAUGAUCUAGUUCCAUCAUUUAAUUGGCUUCUCCCAGAAACCCCAGGGCAACUGCUGGCAGUCUGUGCAUCUUCUAGACGAGGCUACUUACCUGAGGUCACCCAGCUUAUAAAUAAUGGAGUAGAAAUUCCAACAGGCCAGACUGUGCUCCCAUCACUGACUUGGGGGCUUCCCGGGACCCUUUUCUUACCUCCCCCCUUCCCUGCCAGUAAAUAAGCUACUUGCAGUCCCAGCCCUUCACAGGCCUGACUUGGGCUUCCUGGGGGCCUACCCAGGUUAUGUGGGGCUGGUCUGGCCAAAACUGAGCUCUGGAUUCUGCUUUAGCUGUUUUCUUUUCCAUUUCAUUGUUUCCCUAGGAUGUCUGCCUUCCCAAAAUAGCACCAGGGCAUUCCAGGUAAACUCAACAUCCGACCAAAAUCCCCAUUCAGCCCGAGGGGUUCCG